AGGCAGUAAAUUGAUUAAUCAAACAUCCCAAAACUCAAACAUGGAAAGAGCUUCAUUCAAGUUGGCUUUGUUGAUGGCAAUCUUGGCUUUUGCAUAUGGUUUUCCAUUGGGAGGUGAAGCAAGAAAAACACCCACAAUGCAUUGUGGACCAAAGGGUGACUGCAAUGGUUCAUGUCCAUCUCAUUGCCAAUCAUGCACUUGCCAACAACCUUGGUGUGUUUGCUCUCACUACAAGCAACAGUUCCUGAACAAAGCCAUUUUUGGACAAAUGGUUGAGCUAGAACAAGAGCCAUCACAUUAAAUCAAUGAUGCAUAUAUAGGGUAUACCAUAAAUAAAACAUGUAACAUGUCAGACAGCCCAAUUAUGUAAUAGACUAUCUUGCCUUUAUAAU